UCAACAGUUAAGACAGCAUUUUGAACAUGAACUCUUAACGAAAUAGAAAGCUAUCAAGUCGAUUUAACUAAACUCACAACUACCAAGUCUACAAAGAUGGCUAAUUACAAGGACGCUAAAACAUUAGUUUGUCAAGAUAAAUAACUCCCAACACAACUUCAAGCUAAGCCAGAAUAUGAUAACAGGUAGAAUUAGCAGAACCCCAGAACAUACAUAAUACUCAACCUGUCUUGAGUUUUCCUCCAUAUGGUCUAUUAUCGUACUAGCAUCCGAAAAUUCACCACAGUGAAACUAAAUAUUGCACUUUAAUACUAAACCAAAACUUCCAAAUUGAUAUUCCCAAUGAAUUUCUGCAACCGAACAAGCUGCCACACCAUUUUGAAGAGGCACGAUUUCAGAGGAAAAUAACUCUAGAAACUUGAAGAGCACAAUAACAUUAGCCAGCAGCAGUACAAAGAAAAAACUAAAGUAGAAUAAUCCAUUUGGGUAUUAGCUACAAUACUAGAUAUCAUAAUGUUAAGACAUUUCCAUGCUGAUGUAGGAACAGCAUAGGUUCGAUAAGGGUACAGGAAAUCCAGAAGUGCCAAAGCAGAGGGAGAGCCUCCGCGCAAUUCUUCAAAUUAACUGGUUUAAUUUCAACCAUAUUGCCAAAAGCAGAAACCUCACCGCCACUCCCAGUCUUCUGGCAAAUCUUCAACAACUGCUAGGAAGGCCUCAACCCACUAAGAUGGCACUGUAUACACGAGAUAUGCUAGUAUGAGCUCCCGAGAAAGAUUGAUUAAAUAACCAACAAAUAAAUAAACCACAAGACCACAAUAAUGCCAAGAAUAUCUCAAAAGCAAUAGAAUUUUAAUAUGAAUUAAGAUUCUAUUUUUAUAC
rnacentral:lncRNA from 1 species